rnacentral:rRNA from 1 species
GGCUUACGCAUGACGCAGCUUGAACAGCGACACCGCGUGUGGGAUGACGGUUCUAGGAUUGUAAACCACUUUCAGGAGGGAAGAAAAUGACGGUACCUCCACAAGAAGACCCGGCCAACUAUGUGCCAGCAGCCGCGGUAAUACAUAGGGGUCAAGCGUUGUCCGGAUUUAUUGGGCGUAAAGAGCUCGUAGGCGGUUCAACAAGUCGGUCGUAAAAGUUUAGGGCUCAACCCUAAAAUGUCGAUCGAUACUGUUGUGACUAGGAUACGGUAGAGGUGAAUGGAAUUCCGAGUGUAGCGGUGAAAUGCGUAGAUAUUCGGAGGAACACCAAUUGCGAAGGCAGUUCACUGGACCGUGAUCGACGCUGAGGAGCGAAAGCUAGGGGAGCAAACAGGAUUAGAUACCCUGGUAGUCCUAGCUGUAAACGAUGGAUACUAGAUGUAGGAACUGGAUUGACGGUUUCUGUAUCGUAGCUAACGCGUUAAGUAUCCCGCCUGGGGAGUACGGUCGCAAGACUA